GUGUUCACUUCGGCAGCAUAUACACUAAAAUUGGAACUAUACAGAGAUUAGCAUGGCCCCUGCACCAGGAUGACAUAAAAAUUCGUGAAGAGUUCCAUAUAUAU